rnacentral:tRNA from 1 species
GGGGGAUUAGCUCAGUUGGGAGAGCGCUACGAUGGCAUCGUAGAGGUCACCGGUUCGACCCCGGUAUCCUCCACCA